GGCACAGGCAGAAGUAAGUUUUCUGUACUAGUGGGAAAGAAAAAACUCCAUUACGUACCAGUGUGCAGUGCAGAGUUUCUGGAAGUUUAACAGCUCUAAUCCUUCAUAAGAAGUGAAACCAGGUUCUUUUAUUUAUUCAGAACUAAACUGCUCUCCCGUUUGCAUAUAGUGUAAUAUUACACCAUCUACUUUCCUUAUCAGCCUUUUCAGUGCCAAGAAUGAUUUUUCUCUUUUCUCCUGUAUAAACAAUUUAAAGUAGAUGGCAGUGCUGACCCAAACCAAUAGAUCUAUCUUAUGCAAGUUACCCAUUGAUAGAUACUGCUUCAGGAAAGAAAAGCAGGUUUUACUGCUUUAUGCCAAUUAUUAUCGCCAUUGUUGGAAUCUAAGGUAACAAAGGAACAUUCCAAAUCCUGGUGAUCACAAGGCAGAGAGGUUAAUUGGAUUAAUGGAGAACAGAUGCAUUCAAUGUAAAGACUGGAAAGUGAAUGACCUUUAGAAGAUAAUUAAAAGAAAAACUUCUGUUAAAGCUCUCACUGUAACAACUUGUGUUUGAGCAUUCCACUUGUUACCCAGUGGAACAGCCAACCCCCCCUGUGGUCAUUGAGUAUUUUAGUACUUUUCUCCAUAGCAGUACUUGCUGUUCUGAUCAAAUACCCAUUUGAUACUCUUCACCUGCCAAAGCAGGCUGUUAUUCUCACUGGGUAGCAGUACCUUGCCUUACCCCUGCUCACGGGGCAGACCAAAAGGGAGGGAGGUAAUGUGGGUUUAGAGGAGCAAAUGGUGCAGCUCUGGGUAGGCACAGGCAGGGCCACGAUGGCAGUAAGUGAACUGCCUGGCUUGUGGAGACCUUGUACUUCUCAUUAGUUCAGGAACAGACAGCAGUUAACACUUGGUCCACCCAACCAGUCCAUUGCAACUCCAGGACUGCCUUUCAGAGCAUCAUGCUGGCAAACAUCAAGAACUUGAUAGCAGAUUAGGAAUUUAUUGAAGAGCCUGUUAUCAAGGAAGGAAGAACCAGCUCAACUGGCUGUGGCUACAAAUUACAAGUAGCUCUUGAGGUUGGACUUCACUGAUCGAGCUUCUGAGUAGUUUUUUCUGAAGUGGAAUUUCAAGAAGAGGCUUUUGUUACCCGCACAGAAGGAAAAUGCGAAUUAUAUGGAGGAAGUAAAGGUUCUGCAACUGCAGAAGAGCAGUUUUUGUAGAGUCUCUGUCCAACUGUCUUUGUCUAGGAUCCCAGAUUCCUUAAGUUCUCUGUACCCAGCUUUCCUUACUGUGUGCCCCUCCAGGUCUGGCUUUCAGCAGGAUUUCUUCAUUUCUUACAGAUUGCUAAGAAGAGAGCAGGCUUUCAUUUCACAGCUUUUUAGCUAACUGCCUGAAAGUCAGUCCCUAAUUUAAGCUAGUCCUUAAGACUCUCCAGAAUCAAUGGAAGAAUGUGUCUUUUCAGACGGCUAUUAAUUAUGGCUGUCUUCAGCACUUCAACAUUUCCACUCUAAACCAGCUCUGUCUCAUAACUGAUAGUAGGAGUGUGAAAAAUCCUGGACAGCUGAAUGUUGCCUGGCUCCCAGCAGGUGAAGAUAAACCCUGCCCUGUAUAACCACUCAUCUGCACCAACAUCUGUGCUACUACUGCCUGUACAACUUAAUGAUGUGCUACAUGUCUUGGUUUAGACAGAAUUGGCUAUAAAGUGAUGGGGUUUUGCCCUUGCUUUAUACAGAGGAGUGAAUAACUUUUGGCAACUUCAUUAUAUUCCUGAGUUUACUCAUGUAAUUUCCUCCAAAAUGAAAGACACUUCACAUCUUUCAUCAUCGCUAUCACUCUGUGUACUUUUUUUCCAGUUUUGCUGCAUCACUGCUGAGGGGGAGGAGUGCUUCAUUUCUUCCCAGUUAAAAUACAUACACAGACAGUGCUUCCAUGGGGACUGUUGCUUGAAUUUUAGAAGAUUAAAAAUGUAGUUUAAAAAUAAAGCUAAAGUAGAUAAUGUUCUCUAGAAGUAUGAAUGCUUUCAAUGGAACAGGGUGAAGAUAACUAAUCUUUACAAAGUACAUGGGUAUCAAGCUUAUUCUGUAUCAUUUUAGAUGUCUGACUAACAGAUCAUUUACUCCCAAGUCAAUCACCUUCUAUCUACUAGAGCAAAUAACCUAAUUUGAAGGGCCCCCUAUCAUUUUUGCAUGCAAGUGGUAAACAUUACAGGGAAAGAAACCAGUGCCCAAAUGAAAUCGUGCAGCACCUUCAGGUCUGGCAAAUUUCUUGUGUGAACAAUGCCAAAGAAUCAGAAUAAAAAAUUAAUUAUUGUGAUUUUUCUGUUCUGCACCACAAGAAAAGGCAAAUAACUUCU